GUAGCGCAGCGGGUUAAGCGCAGGUGGCGCAAAGCACAAGGACCGGCAUAAGGAUCCUGGUUCGAACCCCGGCUCCCCACCUGCAGGGGAGUCGCUUCACAGGCGGUGAAGCAGGUCUGCAGAUAGAAAGAAGUGCAUAUGUACGUGUGUUGGGAAGGAGAGACACUACAGAAGCAAAACUUGUUCCAAUGUGGUGGUAGGAGGGGUUUUAGAACUGGGUCAUGUGCAUGUCAAAGCAAGUGCACUAUCCAAGUGACCUAUUCAGUUUCUGAAUAGUGGUGGUUACCCACGUUACCACUUUGUAAGAAAUCAUUCUGAUCUACA